GGCAAGAUGGCCGAGCGGUCUAAGGCGCCGCACUCAAGUUCCAGCAGGACUUAUCACAUCCAAUGUGGUUUGCGGUCUCGAAAGAGGCGUGGGUUCAAAUCCCACUCUUGUCA